UACAGAGGUCUCAAGCGUUGUUCGGAUUCAUUGGGCGUAAAGCGCGUGUAGGCGGUUAUCCAAGUCAGGUGUGAAAGCCUUGAGCUCAACUCAAGAAAUGCACUUGGUACUGGGUGACUAGAGGACCGGAGAGGAUAGUGGAAUUCCCAGUGUAGUGGUGAAAUACGUAGAGAUUGGGAAGAACACCAGUGGCGAAGGCGGCUAUCUGGACGGUUUCUGACGCUAAGACGCGAAAGCGUGGGGAGCAAACAGG
rnacentral:rRNA from 1 species